CCCCUUCGCUCUUCUUCUAGCAACCGUGUGAACAUCUGCUUGUGGGUUGCGCUGGUCUAAUGAUUAAAUAUAUUAAACCGUUUAACUGCAUCUCUGAAUUGUAUGUAUUAAAAGAAUAUUGAGCAGACUCUGCUCCUUCCUUGGAGCAGAGCUUGGAGGGCCACCUGACUCGAGGGUCGGGCUGGAUGACCCCUGGCCGCCGCAGCCCCGCCACAUCUGGCGGGCACCAGGUUGGCGGAGGCAGGAGGGACCUGGGCUGCCUUUCCUCCAGGAGACGGACAGCGCGAGCCGAAGCGGGUCUACUCGGAAGUAAGUCCUGUAGACUUAACUGCUGGGUCCUCUAACUUACCUGGCAAACUGAGCGCAGCUGGGCGCCCUUCCGAGUCUGGGGCGUGGCUACGAUCCCUCUGCAACAGAGCUGUCCUUUGGGAAAGAAAUGCAAAAUAUAACAAGACAGCAUAAAACAAGAAUGUUACAUGUGUGGAGGUUAAGCCUGAAGAAGAGUUCUGUGAAGCUCAGAAGCUGCCUGUGUUCCUAUCUGGUCUGGGGCCAUUGGCCCUGCAUCACAUGAAAGGUUGUGCAGCAGGAGCUGUGUUGGGUUGGAUCUCACCCUUUAUCUCCUUGACAAAGUAGCCCAGCUCAUCCUUGACAGUCUUUAUCUGAAAACUGUCUAGACUAUGGAGCAAGCUGGGUAUGAGCACAUGUUUGCGGCUAGAUUAAAUUCCUCUUGCUAUGACCUCUGGAAGCAGCUGUGGGAGGACUUGGGCACCCAGCAGGUGGGAGGUUACUCUGCUGCCCCAGGAGGAGGAUCAGGAAUUCAUGGAAAUGUCAGGGUUAAAUAAAGGUGACCGGAGUUGUGUGUGAGAGAAAUAUUAUAAAUGGAAUUUUGAAAAAGUAAAAUAACAAGAAUGGAAUUGUGAGUUCUUUGCAAAUGCCUCUGUUAUUUCUGAAGUCUUCAUCGGGCCUUUUCCACACUUGGCAUCUCCCUGCCACUCGCCACUUAUUCCUUUGGAAACCCUUGAAGGGCUGCUCCAACCAGAGGCAGGGAUUUGGGUGGGUUGGGUUUGUGGCUUCCCCGUAAUGUCCUUUCAAGAAGACUUGGAAAAUGAAUCUCCAGUGUUCGUCAACAUUGAGCCGACCCAGACAGCAGACAGCCGGGGGAGAGAUGCCUGUUUCCUUGCUCCCUUGCUUGCUGAGAUGGGUCCUGAAUCUCAGCCCUGCCUGUAAGGCAAGGGAGCCACGCUUUCCCAGGAAGUAGCAGAGGUUGCUAUGCGUUGCUCCCAUUUGACACAUGCCCAAUAAUGGUUUUUUAAAAAAUAAAAAACAACAUUUUAA